rnacentral:rRNA from 1 species
CCAAUAGCGUAUAUUAAAGUUGUUGCAGUUAAAAAGCUCGUAGUUGAAUUUCGGGGUCAGUAGGCUGGUCGUGCCACGGGUAUGUACUGGUCUCACUGAUUCCUCCUUCCUGAUGAACCGUAAUGCCAUUAAUUUGGUGUUGCGGGGAAACUGGACUGUUACUUUGAAAAAAUUAGAGUGUUUAAAGCAGGCUAACGCUUGAAUACAUUAGCAUGGAAUAAUGAAAUAGGACGUUGAUCUUAUUUUGUUGGUUUCUAGGAUUGACGUAAUGAUUAAUAGGGAUAGUUGGGGGCAUUAGUAUUCAAUUGUCAGAGGUGAAAUUCUUGGAUUUAUUGAAGACUAACUACUGCGAAAGCAUUUGCCAAGGAUGUUUUCAUUAAUCAAGAACGAAAGUUAGGGGAUCGAAGACGAUCAGAUACCGUCGUAGUCUUAACCAUAAACUAUGCCGACUAGGGAUCGGAUGAUGUUAAUUUUUUAAUGACUCAUUCGGCGCCUUACG